rnacentral:rRNA from 1 species
GACGUAGGGGGCGAACGUUAUCCGGAAUUAUUGGGCGUAAAGGGUGCGUAGAUGGCCUGAUAAGUUAGCAGUGGGAAAUCGAGGCUCAACCUCGUGGAAGCUGGUAAUACUGUCAGGCUCGAGUGCAGGAGAGGUUAACGGAACUCCAUGUGGAGCGGUAAAAUGUGUAGAUAUAUGGAAGAACACCAAUAACGGCGAAGGCAGUUAACUAUUCUGUUACUGACAUUGAGGCACGAAAGCGUGGGGAGCAAAACGG